UUUUACAAUUUACAGAAUUUUCAAUAAUUUCUAUUGGUUCUUCACUUGGAAUUGAUAGCACUUGUUCUUCUGCGUCCUCGUUGUCUCGGUAGAUAGUAUUUUACUAUAGACAUCGUUGUCUUCUUGAAUUAUUUUUGGGAGACCAAAGUUUCUUCUCUUCAAUUAUUUCAGCAAGUCUUCAUCGCAAAUAUUACUUCUAACCGUUCUUCUAGGAAAACCUGGAAAAGCACAAGCACGAUUAUACAUCUCUUGUAUGUAACUCCUAACCGGAUUGAUUAGGAUUUGUUUCAAAACAAGGACCUCCCCCUCCCUAGCAUUACCCUUAGUAGAUCUAUUACACACUUUUUUACUAGUUUAAGAGCCAUUUUUAAUAAUAGAUAAAUAAAAUUACAACAAAUAGCAACAUAAGUAUAACAAGAAUAAAUGCGAAAAUUAAUAUGAGUUGGAAUGAAUAUACCAAACACCGACGUAAACGCCAACGUUAAUUGCAAUUAGAAAUUGAGAGAGCUAUGAG
rnacentral:lncRNA from 1 species